rnacentral:rRNA from 1 species
AUGGAGCUGGAGCUCGAAGCAGGCGGCGGCGGCGGAAGAGUGGUUUCCCUCUCCAGCGAGUCCCCGUCGGCCGAGCUCGGCCGCGGCGACCUGGUUCUCGCAGACCGCAACAUAUCGCGCCGCCACGUCUCCCUCCGCCUCGUCGGCGGCGGGGAGCCUGGGGUCGCCUUCGAGGUCGUAGGGAGGAACCCCGUGCUCGUCCGCUCGCCAGUCGGAGGAGACAAGGUGUACCGCCGCGGCGAGGCGGGCGAGCUCCGGGCCGGGGACGGGCUGUCUCUGUCGCUGAAGGCGCCGUCAUUCUGGACGGUGCGGAGGACGGCCGGGGAGGAGGAGGCGGUUGAGGGUGCGGAGGUGGAGGUGGACACCGCGGUGCUAGACGCGGUGGCGAGGCGGGAGAAGCGGACGCGGGAGAGGAAGGAGAGGGAAAGGGAGAGGCGAGCGUCGGAGGAGGCCAUGGAGGUGACGAAGGAGGAUGUUAUGGCGGCGUCCGGUGAUGACGAUUUGGAUGAGGAAGUAGAGGAUCUGAAAAUUGAUCUUGAUAGCAUCGACCCGGUUCAAGAGUUUGGUUUUUUGUCGGUGGGUCAUGAAUUUGACAAUUACCCUAAGGGCCGGAUUCGCCCUCCGAAGGAUUGGAACUGGUUCCUAGAGGAAAUAAGGAAGGGCAGCGAUGAUGAAGAUGACGACGAUGUUAGUAACACGGGACGUAAAUCAAGGGGUCGUAGUCGUGCGAACAAGAAGAAGAAAAAGAUAGAGGGUGAAGAUGAUGAUGAGUGGACUGAUGAGAGCGAAGAUGGAAAAGACACCCUGCUAACAGGCGCUAGUGUGAAGAGACCAAAAAAGUAUGUAACAAGAUCGAAAGACCCCAAAAAACCUCGCAAGGAGAACUCAAAAACAGAAAAUGAGGAUACGGCGGAUGAACAGGAUGAGACAGAUGAAGAUGAUGAAGCAGAUGAGACACUGGGAGGUUUUAUAGUCGGAGAAGAGGAUGAGGAUGAGCCUAUGGAAGAGCUGAGUGAGGAAGAAGAGGAAGAUGAAUUCGAUGAUGAAGACGAGGACGACUGA